AUUGAACGCUGGCGGCAGGCCUAACACAUGCAAGUCGAGCGAGCGGCGGACGGGUGAGUAAUGUCUGGGAACCUGCCUGAUGGAGGGGGAUAACUACUGGAAACGGUAGCUAAUACCGCAUACCAUCAGAUGUGCCCAGAUGGGAUUAGCUAGUAGGUGGGGUAACGGCUCACCUAGGCGACGAUCCCUCGCUGGGCUGAGAGGAUGAGCAGCCACACUGGAACUGAGGCACGGGGCAGACUCCUACGGGAGGAAGCAGUGGAGAAUAUUGCGAAAGGGGCGCAAGCCCGAUGCAGCCAUGCCGCGUGGGUGAAGAAGGCCUUCGGGUUGUAAAGCACUUUCAGCGGGGAGGCGUUACCCGCAGAAGAAGCACCGGCUAACUACGUGCCAGCAGCCGCGGUAAUAC
rnacentral:rRNA from 1 species